rnacentral:rRNA from 1 species
UCAGGCCUAACACAUGCAAGUCGAGCGUGAACCGGGGCUUCGGCCUUGGGGAAAGCGGCGAACGGGUGCGUAACACGUGAGCAACCUGCCCCGAAGACUGGGAUAACACCGGGAAACCGGUGCUAAUACCGGAUGCCCUCUUCCGACCGCAUGAUUGGACGAGGAAAUGGAUUCCGCUUCGGGAUGGGCUCGCGGCCUAUCAGCUUGUUGGUGGGGUAACGGCCUACCAAGGCGACGACGGGUAGCUGGUCUGAGAGGACGAUCAGCCACACUGGGACUGAGACACGGCCCAGACUCCUACGGGAGGCAGCAGUAGGGAAUCUUGCUCAGGGGGCGAAAGCCUGAAGCAGCGACGCCGCGUGCGGGAAGAGGGCCUUCGGGUUGUAAACCGCUUCAGCAGGGACGAAAUGAC